rnacentral:rRNA from 1 species
AUUGAACGCUGGCGGCAGGCCUAACACAUGCAAGUCGAGCGGAUGGAGGGAGCUUGCUCCUGGAUUCAGCGGCGGACGGGUGAGUAAUGCCUAGGAAUCUGCCUGGUAGUGGGGGAUAACGUCCGGAAACGGGCGCUAAUACCGCAUACGUCCUGAGGGAGAAAGUGGGGGAUCUUCGGACCUCACGCUAUCAGAUGAGCCUAGGUCGGAUUAGCUAGUUGGUGGGGUAAAGGCCUACCAAGGCGACGAUCCGUAACUGGUCUGAGAGGAUGAUCAGUCACACUGGAACUGAGACACGGUCCAGACUCCUACGGGAGGCAGCAGUGGGGAAUAUUGGACAAGGGGCGAAAGCCUGAUCCAGCCAUGCCGCGUGUGUGAAGAAGGUCUUCGGAUUGUAAAGCACUUUAAGUUGGGAGGAAGGGCAGUAAGUUAAUACCUUGCUGUUUUGACGUUACCAACAGAAUAAGCACCGGCUAACUUCGU